UGGGGAAUAUUGCACAAUGGGGGAAACCCUGAUGCAGCGACGCCGCGUGAACGAAGAAGGUAUUCGUAUCGUAAAGUUCUGUCCUAUGGGAAGAUAAUGACAGUACCAUAGAAGAAAGCUCCGGCUAAAUACGUGCCAGCAGCCGCGGUAAUACGUAUGGAGCGAGCGUUGUCCGGAAUUAUUGGGCGUAAAGGGUACGCAGGCGGUUUAAUAAGUCGAAUGUUAAAGAUCGGGGCUCAACCCCGCAAAGCAUUGGAAACUGUUAAACUUGAGUAGUGGAGAGGAAAGUGGAAUUCCUAGUGUAGUGGUGAAAUACGUAGAUAUUAGGAGGAAUACCAGUAGCGAAGGCGACGUUCUGGACACAAACUGACGCUGAGGUACGAAAGCGUGGGGAGCAAACAGG
rnacentral:rRNA from 1 species